AGGACGAACGCUGGCGGCGUGCCUAACACAUGCAAGUCGAACGCGCUCCAUUCGGUAGCAAUACUGAUGAAGAGCGAGUGGCGAACGGGUGAGUAACACAUGAGCAACCUGCCCCGAAGACCGGGACAACACCGGGAAACCGGUGCUAAUACCGGAUAUCCCUAUCGGACCGCAUGAUCUGAUAAGGAAAUGGAUUCCGCUUCGGGAGGGGCUCGUGGCCUAUCAGCUAGUUGGUGAGGUAACGGCUCACCAAGGCAUCGACGGGUAGCUGGUCUGAGAGGACGAUCAGCCACACUGGGACUGAGACACGGCCCAGACUCCUACGGGAGGCAGCAGUGGGGAAUCUUGCGCAAUGGGCGAAAGCCUGACGCAGCAACGCCGCGUGGAGGACGAAGGCUUUCUGAGUUGUAAACUCCUUUCAGCAGGGACGAUAGUGACGGUACCUGCAGAAGAAGCACCGGCAACUACGCGCCAGCAGCCGUA
rnacentral:rRNA from 1 species